GCUGCUAUGGCUCAGUUGGUAGAGCGCAUCCUUGGUAAGGAUGAGGUCAUCAGUUCGAUUCUGAUUAGCAGCUCCA
rnacentral:tRNA from 1 species